CCCUUAGAUGUUCUGGGCCGCACGCGCGCUACACUGAUGCAUUCAACGAGUGUACCUUGGCCGAGAGGCCUGGGCAAUCUUUUGAACGUGCAUCGUGAUAGGGAUAGAUUAUUGCAAUUAUUAAUCUUGAACGAGGAAUUCCUAGUAAACGCAGUUCAUCAAACUGCAUUGAUUACGUCCCUGCCCUUUGUACACACCGCCCGUCGCACCUACCGAUUGGACGGUCCGGUGAAGCCUCGGGAUUGUGGCGGUUGCCUUUAUUGGUGGCCGCCGCGAGAACUUGUCUAAACCUUAUCAUCUAGAGGAAGGUGAAGUCGUAACA
rnacentral:rRNA from 1 species